rnacentral:rRNA from 1 species
GAAUUCGCCCUUAGAGUUUGAUCCUGGCUCAGGACGAACGCUGGCGGCGCGCCUAACACAUGCAAGUCGAACGAGAGAUGAGGAGCUUGCUCUUCAAAUCGAGUGGCGAACGGGUGAGUAACGCGUGAGGAACCUGCCUCAAAGAGGGGGACAACAGUUGGAAACGACUGCUAAUACCGCAUAAGCCCACGGCUCGGCAUCGAGCAGAGGGAAAAGGAGCAAUCCGCUUUGAGAUGGCCUCGCGUCCGAUUAGCUAGUUGGUGAGGUAACGGCCCACCAAGGCGACGAUCGGUAGCCGGACUGAGAGGUUGAACGGCCACAUUGGGACUGAGACACGGCCCAGACUCCUACGGGAGGCAGCAGUGGGGAAUAUUGCACAAUGGGGGAAACCCUGAUGCAGCGACGCCGCGUGGAGGAAGAAGGUCUUCGGAUUGUAAACUCCUGUUGUUGAGGAAGAUAAUGACGGUACUCAACAAGGAAGUGACGGCUAACUACGUGCCAGCAGCCGCGGUAAAACGUAGGUCACAAGCGUUGUCCGGAAUUACUGGGUGUAAAGGGAGCGCAGGCGGGAGAACAAGUUGGAAGUGAAAUCCAUGGGCUCAACCCAUGAACUGCUUUCAAAACUGUUUUUCUUGAGUAGUGCAGAGGUAGGCGGAAUUCCCGGUGUAGCGGUGGAAUGCGUAGAUAUCGGGAGGAACACCAGUGGCGAAGGCGGCCUACUGGGCACCAACUGACGCUGAGGCUCGAAAGUGUGGGUAGCAAACAGGAUUAGAUACCCUGGUAGUCCACACCGUAAACGAUGAUACUAGGUGUUGGAGGAUUGACCCCUUCAGUGCCGCAGUUAACACAAUAAGUAAUCCACCUGGGGAGUACGACCGCAAGGUUGAAACUCAAAGGAAUUGACGGGGGCCCGCACAAGCAGUGGAGUAUGUGGUUUAAUUCGACGCAACGCGAAGAACCUUACCAAGUCUUGACAUCCCUUGACGAUGCCGGAAACAGUAUUUCUCUUCGGAGCAAGGAGACAGGUGGUGCAUGGUUGUCGUCAGCUCGUGUCGUGAGAUGUUGGGUUAAGUCCCGCAACGAGCGCAACCCUUAUGGUCAGUUACUACGCAAGAGGACUCUGGCCAGACUGCCGUUGACAAAACGGAGGAAGGUGGGGAUGACGUCAAAUCAUCAUGCCCUUUAUGACUUGGGCUACACACGUACUACAAUGGCGUUAAACAAAGAGAAGCAAGACCGCGAGGUGGAGCAAAACUCAGAAACAACGUCCCAGUUCGGACUGCAGGCUGCAACUCGCCUGCACGAAGUCGGAAUUGCUAGUAAUCGUGGAUCAGCAUGCCACGGUGAAUACGUUCCCGGGCCUUGAACUCACCGCCCGUCA